GAUGAACGCUGGCGGCGUGCCUAAUACAUGCAAGUCGAGCGAACAGACGAGGAGCUUGCUCCUCUGACGUUGUCGGCGGACGGGUGAGUAACACGUGGAUAACCUACCUAUAAGACUGGGAUACCUUCGGGAAACCGUAGCUAAUACCGGAUAAUAUAUUGAACCGCAUGGUUCACUAGUGAAAGACGGUUUUGCUUUCACUUAUAGAUGACUCCGCGCCGCAUGAGCUAGUUGGUAAGGUGAAGGCUUAGCAAGGCGACGAUGCGUAGCCGACCUGAGAGGGUGAUUGGACACAUGGGAAGAGAGACAGGGCCGAGACACUGAGGGUAGGAAGCAGUAGGGAAUCUUACGCAAGGGGGGAGAGCCGGAUGGAGCAAAGCGGCGGGAGUGAUGAAGGACUUAGGAUCGGAAAACUAUGAUAGUAGGGAAGAACAAAUGUGUAAGUAACUAGGAACGUAUUGACGGUACCGAAUCAGAAAGCCACGGCUAACUACGUG
rnacentral:rRNA from 1 species